rnacentral:rRNA from 1 species
UACGUAGGGGGCGAGCGUUGUCCGGAAUUAUUGGGCGUAAAGAGCUCGUAGGCGGCUUGGCAAGUCGGAUGUGAAAACUCCAGGCUCAACCUGGAGCCGCCAUUCGAUACUGCUAUGGCUAGAGUCCGGUAGGGGAGUGUGGAAGUUCCCGGUGUAGCGGUGAAAUGCGCAGAUAUCGGGAGGAACACCGAUGGCGAAGGCAGCACUCUGGGCCGGCACUGACGCUGAGGAGCGAAAGCGUGGGGAGCGAACAGG